rnacentral:rRNA from 1 species
AGAGUUUGAUCCUGGCUCAGGACGAACGCUGGCGGCGUGCUUAACACAUGCAAGUCGAGCGAUGAAGUUUCUUCGGAAAUGGAUUAGCGGCGAACGGGUGAGGAACACGUGAAGAAUCUGCCCUCCACUUUGGGAUAACACCGGGAAACCGGUGCUAAUACCGAAUAUUGAAACAUAAGUGGCAUCACUGAGUUUUAAAAGAAUUUCGGUGGAGGAUGACUUCGCGGCCUAUCAGCUAGUUGGUGAGGUAAUGGCUCACCAAGGCAACGACGGGUAGCCGGCCUGAGAGGGCGACCGGCCACACUGGGACUGAGACACGGCCCAGACUCCUACGGGAGGCAGCAGUGGGGAAUAUUGGGCAAUGGAGGAAACUCUGACCCAGCGACGCCGCGUGCGGGAUGAAGGCCUUCGGGUUGUAAACCGCUUUCAGUAGGGAAGAAGCGAAAGUGACGGUACCUACAAAAGAAGCACCGGCUAACUAUGUGCCAGCAGCCGCGGUAAUACAUAGGGUGCAAGCGUUGUCCGGAAUUAUUGGGCGUAAAGAGCUCGUAGGUCGUUUGUUACGUCGGAUGUGAAAACCUGAGGCUCAACCUCAGGCCUGCAUUCGAUACGGGCAAACUAGAGUUUGGUAGGGGAGACUGGAAUUCCUGGUGUAGCGGUGGAAUGCGCAGAUAUCAGGAGGAACACCAAUGGCGAAGGCAGGUCUCUGGGCCAAUACUGACACUGAGGAGCGAAAGUCUGGGGAGCGAACAGGAUUAGAUACCCUGGUAGUCCAGACCGUAAACGGUGGGCACUAGUUGUGGGAACCUUCCACGGUUUCUGCGACGCAGCUAACGCAUUAAGUGCCCGCCUGGGGAGUACGAUCGCAGAUUAAAACUUAAAGGAAUUGACGGA